AUUGAACGCUGGCGGCAGGCCUAACACAUGCAAGUCGAACGAGUGGCGGACGGGUGAGUAAUGUCUGGGAAACUGCCCGAUGGAGGGGGAUAACUACUGGAAACGGUAGCUAAUACCGCAUACCAUCGGAUGUGCCCAGAUGGGAUUAGCUAGUAGGUGGGGUAACGGCUCACCUAGGCGACGAUCCCUAGCUGGUCUGAGAGGAUGACAAGCGACGCGGUAACUGAGACACGGGCCAGACGCCUACGGGAGGCAGCAUUGGGGAGGAUGGCACAAUGGGCGCAAGCCGGAUGCAGCCAUGCCGCGGGUAUGAAGAAGGCCUUCGGGGUGUAAAGUACUUUCAGCGAGGAGGCGUUACUCGAAGAAGAAGCACCGGCUAACUCCGUGCCAGCAGCCGCGGUAAUAC
rnacentral:rRNA from 1 species